rnacentral:rRNA from 1 species
AUGGGAACGCGAAGAACCUUACCUAGACUUGACAUCUCCUGAAUAGUGUAGAGAUACAUGAAGCCCUUCGGGGCAGGAAGACAGGUGGUGCAUGGUUGUCGUCAGCUCGUGUCGUGAGAUGUUGGGUUAAGUCCCGCAACGAGCGCAACCCUUAUUACUAGUUGCUACCAUUAAGUUGAGCACUCUAGUGAGACUGCCCGGGUUAACCGGGAGGAAGGCGGGGAUGACGUCAAAUCAUCAUGCCCCUUAUGUCUAGGGCAACACACGUGCUACAAUGGUGAGCACAGAUAGAUGCGAUACCGCAAGGUGGAGCCAAACUCUAAAACUCAUCCCAGUUCGGAUUGUAGGCUGCAACUCGCCUACAUGAAGUUGGAGUUGCUAGUAAUCGCGAAUCAGAAUGCUACGGUGAAUACGUUCCCGGGUCUUGUACACACCG